rnacentral:rRNA from 1 species
GACGAACCGUGCGAACGUUGUUCGGAAUCACUGGGCUUAAAGGGCGCGUAGGCGGGCCGGCAAGUCAGGGGUGAAAUCUUCCAGCUCAACUGGAAAAGGGCCUUUGAUACUGUCGGCCUCGAGGGAGGUAGGGGCAUGCGGAACUUCCGGUGGAGCGGUGAAAUGCGUAGAUAUCGGAAGGAACGCCGGUGGCGAAAGCGGCGUGCUGGACCUCUUCUGACGCUGAGGCGCGAAAGCUAGGGGAGCGAAGUGGG